CCUUGACUCUUCUCAGUUGGUAAAGAAUCUGCCUGCAAUGCAGGAGACCCCGGUUCGAUUCUUGGGUCAGGAA
rnacentral:tRNA from 1 species